UACGAAGGGGGCUAGCGUUGCUCGGAAUCACUGGGCGUAAAGCGCACGUAGGCGGAUCUUUAAGUCAGGGGUGAAAUCCCAAGGCUCAACCUUGGAACUGCCUUUGAUACUGGGGAUCUCGAGUCCGGAAGAGGUGAGUGGAACUGCGAGUGUAGAGGUGAAAUUCGUAGAUAUUCGCAAGAACACCAGUGGCGAAGGCGGCUCACUGGACCGGUACUGACGCUGAGGCGCGAAAGCGUGGGGAGCAAACAGG
rnacentral:rRNA from 1 species